UACGUAGGGUGCAAGCGUUAAUCGGAAUUACUGGGCGUAAAGCGUGCGCAGGCGGUUUUGUAAGUCUGACGUGAAAUCCCCGGGCUCAACCUGGGAAUUGCGUUGGAGACUGCAAGGCUAGAAUCUGGCAGAGGGGGGUGGAAUUCCACGUGUAGCAGUGAAAUGCGUAGAGAUGUGGAGGAACACCGAUGGCGAAGGCAGCCCCCUGGGUCAAGAUUGACGCUCAUGCACGAAAGCGUGGGGAGCAAACAGG
rnacentral:rRNA from 1 species